rnacentral:snRNA from 1 species
GCAUGUAUGUUAAUACCAAAAUUGGAAUGACACAGGGAAGGUUAGGGUGGUCCCCAUGCAAGGAUAAUAUGCAAACUUGUGAAGGGUUCUGGAUUUUA